UUCACCUCCUCUUCUGACUAUCCGAUUGAGGUUGAGAAACUGAGCUGUGAUGGAAUUUGGUACCUGACAGUCGGCACAACUCUUGCCAAAAAUGAUUCACAAACUCAUUGUCUUGGUCCGUAACAAUGGACUUCGGCACCCUGUACAGUUUAAUCAUUUCUUUCUAACAUGUAUCAACUUCAAUGCCAGCAUUUAAAGGGUGUCUCAAUUGUAAGAAAUGAACAUACUCCACAAAUCGGUAUGCUUCCGCAAACGUUUCCUGUUUAAUAGCUAAAAAUCUUCUAUCGACUGAUCCCUCUCUUAAAGAUUGGAAUCGGGCCUUCAUCCUUUUCUUCAAGACUUGCCAAUCUUCAAACGACUCUCUGUCUACUUCCGACAGGUACCAGUUUAACACGAUGUCGUCAAAAUUCUCAACUGCCACCGUCAUCUUCUCAAAUUCACUCAACUUGUGAACUUGAAAAUAGCGAUCUUCUUUGUAUAGCCACGCGUCUAGAUUUCUUCCGCUAAACAUCGACAUUUCCACUUUCUUGAAUUCACUCCGGUAGCCGUUUGCUUCUUCACCGGGUGCCUUCACCAAACCAUUUGUUCCGCACAUUUUUUUGGCAUUCGAUCCUUCUGCCUCUUCCGUCACCUUUGCCUUUUCUUUGACCAUUUUCAUAACAUAAGAAACGAACAUUUUUUUUUAUGUUUCUCUACCUGCAAUUCCAAUUUUUCAAUGAUCUUCGCUACCGACGCCAACUUCUCCUCUAUGGUUAACACUUUCUAUAUUUCGACUUUAAAUUCAAAGGUUUUUUGUUCUAGUAAUUCCAGUUUUUUUUUCGAAAUCUUUCUGAACCAUGCUUGCCCAGGUGUUUGCUCUGAUAUCAAUUUGUUAGGAUACUGAUUCUUGAAAUCUUUACUAUUGAAACGUUUUGAUACAAUCUUUCGAAAAAAAGAACUAAACGAUGAACAACUUCUUUAUUAAACAAUAAGAGUCAAACAAUACUAAUCGAUCGCUUACAGAUGAUACUCGAUCAUUUACUCAACGAUAAACGAUCUUUACAAUCUAUUGCACGAUCACUCAGUCUUGCUAAACGAUCGCUUACUAAAUCCUCCCCGGUCGCUCACAAACUCCUACACGAUCGCUUACCAAUAUCUAUACGAUCACCUAUCUUUUGCAUACGAUCGCCUACCAAUUGCUACACGAUCGCUGAGCUUUACUAUAUAAUCGUCUAGUAGAAGUAGACGAUGAGCGGCACACUACGAUGGCUUCUCCAUGACAACGUUUCUCGAACUCCCACUCUCGAGAGCUCUCCCUCCUCACUUUUGAUAUUCAGACUUUGCUACUUCUCCUUCUAUUUCCUUCUUCUUUUAAACCCCAAUUUCUCCCAAUGGAAUUGGAAGACAUUCUUAACCGAUUCAACCACCUCUCCUCUAUUCUUUCUUUCUUGAUAUGCCACAUAAUUGGGAUCCUAUUAGAUAACAAGUACAAAGUUCUUGAAAAAGAAUAUUUGAAGAUGAAGGAAUAAAUGAUAGAAAUGAAAGCAAUGAAAGAUGAAAUAAUAGAAAUGAAAGCAAUUAUGUCAUGUUUUAUAAAGAAACAGGUAAUCUUUUUUUCUUUAAAUCACUUACAUUCAUUUUUUUUCUUAUAAUUAGUUAACUUUUUUGUUUCAUAUGAAAUUAUCAUAGGUUGAACCAAGUGAGGAACUUUCAAAUGCUACUGUAAGUGUACCUAAGGCAACAAAUAUUCCUUCAACUUUUCUAAUAUCAUCUCCAUCGGUAAAUUUAUUUGUAAUGUGAUGAGAAUUAUUCUUGAUUUCAUUAUUAUUUUAUUCUAAUAUCUCAUAUUUUCCUUUUCAUAGAGUGUCAAUAAAAAUAUUCAAAUUAACUACAAGUUAUUAGAUUAGUAUGGCUGAGGAGAGAUUAUUGCAGAAGGACGAUAGUCUUCUAAUGAUCCAGCUACUCUUGUUCAUCACACCUAUUGGUCCACAUGCAGUUAGAGUAUGGGUUGAUGUAUCAAAGAAACCUGACGCAUAUUUGUGGAGGCCUACAUUUGAGAUGACAUGUAUUGAAGAAGCUUUGGACAGUACAGUUGCAUGCCAUCUGAUAAAUUGAUUAUUGAUGAAUGACAUGAUGCCUUACCAGAGGAAAAGAAAACCAACGAUAAGACAGCUCAGCUACGUAUUUUUGAACACUUGGUGAAUUUUGUACACAUGGUAAAUUUUGAACACUUUGUAUUUUGAGGGCUAACUUAUGUUGUUGGUGUAGUUACUAAAUACUUUAUCUAGCUUGUGUAUCAUUUAGACACAACUUUAUUCUAGGAAAUUAUUGAAUAUUUUAUUUUGUAAUGUCAGUAGAUUAUGAAUGGAAGUUAUUAGUAUUUAUUAUGA